rnacentral:rRNA from 1 species
UACGAAGGAUGCAAGCGUUAUCCGGAUUCAUUGGGCUUAAAGGGCGCGUAGGUGGCCUUAUAAGUCAGUGGUGAAAUCUCUCGGCUUAACCGAGAAAUUGCCAUUGAUACUGUAGGGCUUGAGUAUAGUUGCCGUUGGCGGAAUAUGACAUGUAGUGGUGAAAUACGUAGAGAUGUCAUAGAACACCGAUUGCGAAGGCAGCUGACGAAACUAUAACUGACACUGAGGCUCGAAAGUGUGGGGAUCAAACAGG